GAUGAACGCUGGCGGCGUGCCUAACACAUGCAAGUCGAGCGAACGGACGAGAAGUUUGCUUUUCUGAUGUUAGCGGCGGACGGGAGAGUAACACGUGGAUAACCUACCUAUCAGACUGGGAUAACUUCGGGAAACCGGAUCUAAUACCGGAUAAUAUUUUGCACUGCAUGGUUCAAAAGUUAAAUUCGGUCUUGCUGUCACUUAUAGAUGGAUCCGCGCUGCAUUAGCUAGUUGGUAAGGUAACGGCUUACCAAGGCAACGAUGCAUAGCCGACCUGAGAGGGUGAUCGGCCACACGGGAACUGAGACACGGUCCCGACUCCUACGGGAGGCGGCAGUAGGGAAUCUUCCGCAAUGGGCGAGAGCCUGACGGAGCAACGCCGCGUGAGUGAUGAAGGUCUUCGGAUCGUAAAACUCUGUUAUUAGGGGAGAACAUAUGUGUAAGUAACUGUGCACAUCAUGACGGUACCUAAUGAAAAAGCCACGGCUAACUACGUG
rnacentral:rRNA from 1 species